rnacentral:rRNA from 1 species
GACGAACGCUGGCGGCGUGCUUAACACAUGCAAGUCGAACGGAAAGGCCCUGCUUUUGUGGGGUGCUCGAGUGGCGAACGGGUGAGUAACACGUGAGUAACCUGCCCUUGACUUUGGGAUAACUUCAGGAAACUGGGGCUAAUACCGGAUAUGAGCUCCUGCUGCAUGGUGGGGGUUGGAAAGUUUCGGCGGUUGGGGAUGGACUCGCGGCUUAUCCGCUUGUUGGUGGGGUAGUGGCUUACCAAGGCUUUGACGGGUAGCCCGCCUGAGAGGGUGACCGGCCACAUGGGGACUGAGAUACGGCCCAGACUCCUACGGGAGGCAGCAGUGGGGAAUAUUGCACAAUGGGCGGAAGCCUGAUGCAGCAACGCCGCGUGCGGGAUGACGGCCUUCGGGUUGUAAACCGCUUUCGCCUGUGACGAAGCGUGAGUGACGGUAAUGGGUAAAGAAGCACCGGCUAACUACGUG